rnacentral:lncRNA from 1 species
UCAAGGAGUAGGGAUCGGAAAAAAUCUCGAUCCAGAAGCAGAGACAGGAAGAAGUCAAGAUCCAGAAGCAGGGAUAGAAAACGGAGGAUCAGAACACGUUCCCGGUCAAGAUCCAGACACAGGCAUAGGACUAGAAGCAGGAGCAGAUCACGGAGUCGAAGUCGAGAUAGAAAGAAGAGAAUCGAAAAACCAAGAAGAUUUAGCAGAAGCCUAAGCCGGACACCUAGUCCGCCUCCCUUCAGAGGCAGAAACACAGCAAUGGAUGCCCAAGAAGCACUAGCUAGGAGUUAUCACAGUGUAACCUGAUGUGCUGCUGCCCUGUGAAGCCAGCCUGGCAGAAACUCCACUGAACAGCAGCAAAGAUUAGAAAGGGCAAAGAAAUUACAAGAACAACGAGAAAAGGAAAUGGUUGAAAAACAAAAACAACAAGAAAUGGCUGCAGCAGCUGCAGCCACUGGAGGUUCUGUUCUUAAUGUUGCUGCACUCUUGGCAUCGGGAACGCAAGUUACUCCUCAGAUAGCUAUGGCAGCUCAAAUGGCAGCCCUGCAAGCUAAGGCCUUGGCAGAGACUGGCAUAGCUGUGCCCAGCUACUAUAACCCAGCAGCUGUGAAAGAAGAAGUUUUUCGAAAUCUUGAUGCUCAGUAUGAAAUGGCAAGAUCACAGACCCACACACAGCGAGGGAUGGGUUUGGGUUUCACAUCUUCAAUGCGUGGAAUGGAUACAGUUUGAAAAAUAUCAAUUUGGGACUUUAUAGACUUGUUCUGAUGUCGGGUCCUUGUUCACCAAACAGCUAGUGUUCUAGCUUGCAUGGGUGUUGCAUUGACUUUAAUUUAUUGAAAAAUACGAUUUUUUUUGUAAAUAUCAGAUCAGUGAUACUGGUGUUAGUGUUGUAAUCAGGUUAAACCCACUUCCAUUAAACUUGACAGGACUAUAGAAGGACAAUAUUUUUUAGUUCAUGAAUUCUACUUUUCAAAUAUAUUAAAGCUUCGGGUGGGAUAAAAUCUCAUACAUAGAUUUUCUCGUGUCCGCUGUCUUGUGUACUUUUGUACUUAACCUUGUACAGUUAUUUUCAUCUCUUGAAACAUGAAAGAAAUGUUAUGUAGAUGUUCUUUAGAAGAUCUGGCCAUUUGGUACAUAAUCCUGCACACAAGCUGGGCAGUGAUAAUAAAAAUGGUUUUCUCAAAA